rnacentral:miRNA from 1 species
CGGUUACGUGAUUAUUAGGGG